rnacentral:rRNA from 1 species
AUGGCGGAUCCAACGCAACAGGUGCAAGGGGGUGGGGAGGGAGAGAUCGGGGCGGCGGAAGCUUUGGCGGUAGCAGGAAGGCCGAGCGGACCGAGAGAAACGAAGGAGGGGGUUACGGAUGAGAAUAGGAGUAGGGAUGGAUUUGUUCACAGUUCGCAGGACGUGCGUAACCAAUUUGGAGGAGAGGAAGAGGAGUUUGCAGAUUAUCAUGGGCCUGAACCUGAUUUGGAGGAUCAAUUUGCAGGUAUGAAGCUCCAUGGAAGGGAGGAGGAAGAGCUAGAUUUCUCAGCGGAAGUUGAUGAACUGAUUAAGGAUGUACGUUGGCUUGCCCUGUUCCGUGUCCAUACUACGAAACCUUUUAGCCACGCUGCGCUCUUGUCUCAGAUGCGUAAUGCAUGGUCGGCGGCUCAAGGGGUGACGUUCAACAUCAAGGGACCCAAUCUGUUUCUUGUGCAAUGCCAUUGUCUAGGUGAUUGGAGGAGGAUUAUGGAUGGAGGGCCAUGGCUAUUUAGGAGGGCACCGGUGGUGAUCCAGGAGUAUGAUGGUUUUUCGGAUGUCAAAGGCUAUAGACUCAACAAAAUUCCAGUAUGGGUAAGGGUGAAGGGGCUGCCGGAUGGACUCACAAGAAGGAAAGAGUUAGCGGAGAAAGUAGCAGCUAAAGUAGGUGACCCACCUUUCUCCGUGAUAAUGAAUGAGGGAAGAAUCAACCCAGCUAGUACCCUCCGGGUGAGGGUUUAUGUGGAUGUCAAUAGUCCGCUUGUCCGUUUUGUUCCAAUAACCUUGAAGGAGUAUAAAAGAUACAGUGUUUAUUAUGAGAAGCUACCGGACUUUUGCUUUGCGUGUGGUAAGAUGGGUCAUGUUGCAGAUGUUGGGGAACGUAGCAGAAAUUCAAAAAUUUUCCUACGUAUCACCAAGAUCUAUCUAUGA